ACGGCGUCCCUUUUCAGACUCCUUUUGGGAGCGGAGCAGCUGCACAGAGCCUGUGAGUGGGAAUUUUGCGUGUCCUUAUGUGGCCCCAAAUCUCUGAUGUUCUGAUGUGGCCUCAAAUCUCAGCCUCCCGUGAUGCCAGCUUUUCGAGGCUCCGACGAUCCACUCCCCGGAUCGAGGAAGACACGGGCCAAGAAUCCCAUCUGGGAGGAAGCACCGAGAGAGGAGGGGCGUGAGGUUGGAGGGCGGUGGGAGGGGAUGGGGGCAGACACAGGGGAGGCGGGGGUCCCCGGCCAGACCUAAGGACGCACGGGGUUUCCGCUGGACGGGGCGCCCACAGGGAGGCAGGCGGGGUGGUGGGGAGCAGGGACGUGAGCAGCCCCCGAGCACGCAACCGCGGGCGGGGGACUGCCGAGCUCCCAGGUGGGUGACAUCGAGCCUAGCCGCUUGUCUCUGCCUUGUGACGGUCUCAGGCCUUAGGUUAGGACGCUGAGUCCCUGGGAGGUCGUCUCGUUUGCUCAGCAUCACAGAGCGAGGCAGCGGUUCAACCGGAGUUCACAGACCCGUGCUGGGCACCUUGGGCGGCGGAGAGGCUGAAGACAGGCCGGCUCCUCCCCAGCAGGUGCUCCCGGGAGCGGGGACUCCUCCGCAGGUGACCCCCUCCUAACAGGGGCCCGGGCGGCCCAAGCACAGAGCCGCGGUGUCCCCCGUGGGGUCUUUCCCUGCACCCUGCACACCGCCCUCCUCUGCAGGAACCCCGCGUCCCAGAGGCCGUCCCGGGCACUGGGGACGUGUCCGUGCGCUCACACGGAUUUAAGGGGCCCGCCAAGUCCGCGAGUCUGAGUCUGAGUCCCGUGCGCCGUGGGGUCGGUGCCGCGGCCGGCAGCACGCCUUGGCCCUGGCCGCCUGUUGUCCGCGCCGCCCUGGGGCCUGGACCCCUGGCCCAAAGACCCCACGAGCCUGGGCAGUGGAGGGGGGCUGGUGGCCUGUGCUGUGUCCACCCGCUGCCCUGCUCCAGGGUCCCAGGGACCCUCCGUCUGAGUUGGUCCGGGGGCCUGCGUGGCCCCAACCGUCCCUGCUGGAAAAUGACCAGGGUUUCCCGCAGGGACGCAUCGGCUGGCUCUGCCUCGGUGGCUCCCAGGUGCCCGAGCCACGUUCCUCCUGCCACUUCACAGACUCCGAGGACGGAUGGGCAGCCCCGGACUCCGCGAUGGGCCAGGCUGUGCCUCCCCGCCCCCCCCCGCCCCCCAAGUGUUAUUCAGCGACUGAGGGUUCCCCGGAUACUCUCUGGAGCUCGGCCAGUCACGGGCUCCCAGAGGGCACAGCUCCCGUCGUCCCCGCGGCUUUGCUCCUGCCACCCCCCCCCACCCCAGGGACGUCUUCUCUGCCCCCUGGAAUCCUACUUGUCCGAGAUGUGCCCUGUCCCACGGAGGAUCCCAGAGCUGUCCUUAAACAGCCAAAGGUGAGGUGUGUCUUUCUCAUCCCGGGCAAUAAAAAAAUAAAAAUUAAAAAAAAAAUCCAUUAGUCCUUGAGCAGGAGGUGCCCCGGUGGGGGCAACCUCUUGCAGAUGAGCGCUGUGUAGGGCCGUCCGUCAGCACGGACCCCAGAUUCCUGGCACCACCCCCUCCCCGAGCAGGCCCUCGGCCUGUGACGGCUGGUCUGGGUCGUCUCUAAGCUGCAAGGUGUCCC
rnacentral:lncRNA from 1 species